rnacentral:lncRNA from 1 species
CAUCAGCUCUUAAAGUUUGAAGGAAUCAAUUCCAUCUUGAUCCACACACAGACUUCACAAGUACUUGACUGUACUCAGUAGCCUUCCGUGAUUGUAUUAGAAUUGCAGGUAGUCCGGUACCAAAGUAUAGUGAGUUACUUACAAGUCACUAUGGUGAUCUCAGAUCUGAGGGACACUUAUGCCCAUAUACUUCACGAGCUGCUCUUGACUGCAGAGCGCUCAACAGGUGAGUCAUUUGUUCAGUGAUGAUGUACUCCUACAUCUCAUCUGUAUGCCAUACCAGUGUCUCCACACUCCUUAAUUAAGAAGACAACCAACCCAUUUGGCAUACAAUGACCUUCACUCGAUAAACAUCAUUAUCCUUUAAUGAUAUAUUAUUUGGUCAUGAAUAUAUUUAAGAACUAUACGAUAAAUUCUCUUUUAUCGAUUACUUCAUAGUUCUAAGAAUUUCAUCACAACACAAGAGUUCCAGUAAGAAAGAUAUAACUUUAUGAUGAAUGAUGUCAAAAUAACUUUUAUUCAUUGAUUAAUAAUUUAUACAUAUUAUAAAAUGAGCACAAUCAUCCAAAUGAUUGACUUUAAGAUAUAUUUUUCAAUAACUCCCACUUGAACUAAAGCCAA